rnacentral:rRNA from 1 species
CCCCUAGUAACUGCGAGUGAAGCGGGAAGAGCUCAAAUUUGAAAUCUGGCGGUUCUGCCGUCCGAGUUGUAAUCUGGAGAAGCGUUUUCCGUGCCGGACCGUGUACAAGUCUCUUGGAACAGAGCGUCAUAGAGGGUGAGAAUCCCGUCUUUGACACGGACUCCCGGUGCUCUGCGAUGCGCUCUCGAAGAGUCGAGUUGUUUGGGAAUGCAGCUCAAAAUGGGUGGUAAAUUCCAUCUAAAGCUAAAUAUUGGCGAGAGACCGAUAGCGAACAAGUACCGUGAGGGAAAGAUGAAAAGCACUUUGGAAAGAGAGUAAAACAGUACGUGAAAUUGUUGAAAGGGAAACGCUUGGAGUCAGUCGCGUCUUCUGGAACUCAGCCGUGCUUCUGCGCGGUGCACUUUCCAGUUCGACGGGUCAGCAUCGGCUCUGGGGGGCGGACAAAGGCGCGGGGAAGGUGGCAGCUCCGGCUGUGUUAUAGCCCCGCGCUACACGUCCUCCGGGACCGAGGAAUCCGGCGCUCGCGCCUGGGAUGCUGGCGUAAUGGCUUUAAACGACCCGUCUUGAAACACGGACCAAGGAGUGCUACAUGCUCGCGAGUGUUUGGGUGGAAAACCCGAGCGCGCAAUGAAAGUGAAAGUCGAGACCCUUUGCGGGGGCACCGACGCCCGAGCCUGAAGUUUACGGACGGCCUUGCGGUAGAGCGAGUAUGUUGCGACCCGAAAGAUGGUGAACUAUUCCUGAGGAGGGCGAAGCCAGAGGAAACUCUGGUGGAGGCUCGUAGCGGUUCUGACGUGCAAAUCGAUCGCAGGACUUGGG